CUCGGGGGGCAGCAGUGGGGAAUAUUGCACAAUGGGGGAAACCCUGAUGCAGCGACGCCGCGUGAGUGAAGAAGUAUUUCGGUAUGUAAAGCUCUAUCAGCCGGAACGAGACAAGACGGUACCUGACUAAGAAGCCCCGGCUAACUACGUGCCAGCAGCCGCGGUAAUACGUAGGGGGCAAGCGUUAUCCGGAAUCACUGGGUGUAAAGGGAGCGUAGACGGCUGUGCAAGCCUGAAGUGAAAGGCGGGGGCCCAACCCCUGGACUGCUUUGGGCACUGGACGGCUGGAGUGAAGGGGAGGUAAG
rnacentral:rRNA from 1 species